rnacentral:rRNA from 1 species
GUGCCAGCAGCCGCGGUAAUACGUAGGUUCCGAGCGUUGUCCGGAUUUAUUGGGCGUAAAGCGAGCGCAGGCGGUUAGAUAAGUCUGAAGUUAAAGGCUGUGGCUUAACCAUAGUACGCUUUGGAAACUGUUUAACUUGAGUGCAAGAGGGGAGAGUGGAAUUCCAUGUGUAGCGGUGAAAUGCGUAGAUAUAUGGAGGAACACCGGUGGCGAAAGCGGCUCUCUGGCUUGUAACUGACGCUGAGGCUCGAAAGCGUGGGGAGCAAACAGGAUUAGAU